rnacentral:rRNA from 1 species
GACGAACGCUGGCGGCGUGCCUAAUACAUGCAAGUUGAGCGCUGAAGGUUGGUACUUGUACCAACUGGAUGAGCAGCGAACGGGUGAGUAACGCGUGGGGAAUCUGCCUUUGAGCGGGGGACAACAUUUGGAAACGAAUGCUAAUACCGCAUAAAAACUUUAAACACAAGUUUUAAGUUUGAAAGAUGCAAUUGCAUCACUCAAAGAUGAUCCCGCGUUGUAUUAGCUAGUUGGUGAGGUAAAGGCUCACCAAGGCGAUGAUACAUAGCCGACCUGAGAGGGUGAUCGGCCACAUUGGGACUGAGACACGGCCCAAACUCCUACGGGAGGCAGCAGUAGGGAAUCUUCGGCAAUGGACGAAAGUCUGACCGAGCAACGCCGCGUGAGUGAAGAAGGUUUUCGGAUCGUAAAACUCUGUUGUUAGAGAAGAACGUUGGUGAGAGUGGAAAGCUCAUCAAGUGACGGUAACUACCCAGAAAGGGACGGCUAACUACGUG